CAGACAGCCACCAUGACGUGAUGUACAGCACUGUGAUGCCUGAUCAGUUCAGGACAGAACAGAAGGCCCCAUUUCCUGAAGAUAAUGAUGAUGUCACAUACAGCACUGUCAUCCCCCAGCACAAGGCCCAACUAAAAGUACAGGCCAAGGCAGCAGAACCAGAUGAUAAUGUGGUCUACAGCUCACUAGCUCUACAGGUGACCACACAGGUCAG